AGGUUUCCGUAGGGUGAACCUUCGGAAGGAUCAUUU
rnacentral:rRNA from 1 species